AAAAAGACAAACUCUGGGUUUUAUUUGUCCAACUUUAACUGUUCGUUUUAUAUGAAAAUUUUUUAUAAUUUGUAUUUUUAUUGUUGUUAGAUGAUAAAACAUGAUUAAUAUUUUAUGCGUGAUUUGUCUUUUUAAUUUUUAUAUAAUUCAAAUAAGACGGAUGGUCAAACAUUAGACACGGAAGCCAGGGUUUGUCUUUUC
rfam:Oryza barthii chromosome 7, whole genome shotgun sequence.